GACGAACGCUGGCGGCGUGCCUAAUACAUGCAGGCUGAGCGCUGAAGGUUGGUACUUGUACCGACUGGAUGAGCAGCGAACGGGUGAGUAACGCGUGGGGAAUCUGCCUUUGAGCGGGGGACAACAUUUGGAAACGAAUGCUAAUACCGCAUAACAACUUUAAACACAAGUUUUAAGUUUGAAAGAUGCAAUUGCAUCACUCAAAGAUGAUCCCGCGUUGUAUUAGCUAGUUGGUGAGGUAAAGGCUCACCAAGGCGAUGAUACAUAGCCGACCUGAGAGGGUGAUCGGCCACAUUGGGACUGAGACACGGCCCAAACUCCUACGGGAGGCAGCAGUAGGGAAUCUUUGGCAAUGGACGAAAGUCUGACCGAGCAACGCCGCGUGAGUGAAGAAGGUUUUCGGAUCGUAAAACUCUGUUGGUAGAGAAGAACGUUGGUGAGAGUGGAAAGCUCAUCAAGUGACGGUAACUACCCAGAAAGGGACGGCUAACUACGUGCCAGCAGCCGCGGUAA
rnacentral:rRNA from 1 species